rnacentral:rRNA from 1 species
UGAGUACGAGCUGCUACGGCAGCGAAGUGGGUGACGUCAAGCUUCCAAGAAAAGCCCUAUACCCGUUAAGGCAUGAUGGCCUGUACCCGAAACCGACACAGGUGGGGUGGUAGAGAAUACCGAGGGGCGCGAGAUAACUCUCUCUAAGGAACUCGGCAAAAUGGCCCCGUAACUUCGGGAGAAGGGGUGCCACCGCAAGGUGGUCGCAGUGAAGAGGCCCAGGCGACUGUUUACCAAAAACACAGGUCUCCGCUAAGUCGCAAGACGAUGUAUGGGGGCUGACGCCUGCCCAGUGCCGGAAGGUUAAGGAAGCUGGUCAGCGUAAGCGAAGCUAGCGACUGAAGCCCCGGUGGACGGCGGCCGUAACGAUAACGGUCCUAAGGUAGCGAAAUUCCUUGUCGGGUAAGUUCCGACCCGCACGAAAGGCGUAACGAUCUGGGCGCUGUCUCGGAGAGAGGCUCGGCGAAAUAGAAUUGUCUGUGAAGAUGCGGACUACGUGCACCCGGACAGAAAGACCCUAUGAAGCUUUACUGUAGCUUGGUAUUGUGCUCGGGCUCGGAAUGCGCAGGAUAGGUGGGAGGCUAUGAACCAUUGCUUGUGGGUGAUGGUGAGCCACUGGUGAGAUACCACUCUUUCCGAGCUAGAGUUCUAACAGCCACCCGUUAUCCGGGGGCUGGACAGUAUCAGGUGGGCAGUUUGACUGGGGCGGUCGCCUCCUAAAAGGUAACGGAGGCGCGCAAAGGUUUGCUCAGGCUGGUUGGAAAUCAGCCGACGAGUGUAAAAGCAGAAGCAAGCUUGACUGUGAGACCUACAAGUCGAACAGGGAGGAAACUCGGCUUUAGUGAUCCGACGGUUCUGCGUGGAAGGGCCGUCGCUCAACGGAUAAAAGUUACUCUAGGAUAACAGGCUGAUCUCCCCCAAGAGUUCGCAUCGACGGGGAGGUUUGGCACCUCGAUGUCGGCUCAUCGCAACCUGGGGCUGAAGUCGGUCCCAAGGGUUGGGCUGUUCGCCCAUUAAAGCGGUACGCGAGCUGGGUUCAGAACGUCGUGAGACAGUUCGGUCCAUAUCCGGUGCAUGCGCAGGAAUAUUGAGAGGAUUUCUCCCUAGUACGAGAGGACCGGGAGGAACGCACCUCUGGUGUACCAGUUAUCGUGCCAACGGUAAACGCUGGGUAGCCAUGUGCGGAGAGGAUAACCGCUGAAAGCAUCUAAGUGGGAAGCCCACCUCAAGAUGAGUAUUCCCAUGGGUUAACCCAGUAAGGUCACGGGAAGAACACCCGUUGAUAGGCUCUACGUGGAAGCGCAGUAAUGUGUGAAGCGGAGGAGUACUAAUAGACCGAGGGCUUGAC